rnacentral:rRNA from 1 species
GACGUAGGGCGCGAGCGUUUGUCCGGAUUUAUUGGGCGUAAAGAGCUCGUAGGCGGCUUGUCGCGUCGUUCGGUGAAAACCCCGGGGCUCAACUCCGGGCUUGCGGGCGAUACGGGCAGGCUAGAGUUCGGUAGGGGGAGACUGGAAUUCCUGGUGUAGCGGUGAAAUGCGCAGAUAUCAGGAGGAACGACCGGUGGCGAAGGCGGGUCUCUGGGCCGAUACUGACGCUGAGGAGCGAAAGCGUGGGGGAGCGAACAGG